UGAGAGGAGUAGGGAAGCUGCUAAUAGGCUGUUUGUAGCAAGACACCAAGCCUUCCUAGUAGGGAGGUUGCACUUGUUCCCCAGAAGGGAAGGAAAACAAGCACAAGAGACUGACAGAGGAGAGAAGUAGCAGGACCCUGUGCUACCUGUAAGGAUUUGCCUUGCCCCAAAUCUGAGUCUCUAAGGCUUAAAAAGGACUGAGACUACUGAGGCAAACAAGAUAAUCAAGCCAGGACCAUACAGGAUCCCAGUCCAGGUGUGUAGCAAUUGGUGUCAAAGCAAAGCAGUCUGAGCCAGGAGCACAUGAUGAGGGAGCAGAGACAGCUGAUACGGAGAGAUAGAUGGUUGCCAGAGGUACAACUGCUGGGGGUGCUGGCUGUGGUGAUUCAGAAGCAAGCAAGGGUAUGAAUGAGACCUCUUCAGAGGAUGAAAAGAAUAAAGAGAACGGGCCUUCAGUAAGGAUAAACAUGAUAUGCAAAUGCUGCUUUUGCAUAAAGCAAUUUUUUUUAAGUUUAUAUCAGGAGGUUGACUGGCAAAGCUGUAAAGAUGAUAUGACUGCUGUUGUUAGGGCUGUUGUAGUAAAAACAAUUUACCACUGUUU